AAAGACUCUUUGUUAGCUCUUCGUGCCUCCUUGACUUCUCAAACUGAACUAAGACUGUCCAACUAGAGGUAUAGCCGGAAGGAGCUCUUUUUGUAUUGAAAGUGUUUUCAAAUAGCAAUCCAUCGCGUCGGUAAUAAGACUUAGAGUAAACGAACGAUUCAAGCUCCUUACAGAAGGCAGUUCAGCUUGAUAACUCGAUAAGCUGUAUUGACAGAACAAAACCACUCUUUCAAAGGUGGGAUCAAUCCCAACCUAUUCUUCUUAGCCUAACAGUCUAUUCGUGGAAGUAAAUUAUCCAAAAAGUCUCCUUACUAGAU
rnacentral:lncRNA from 1 species